UACGUAGGGUGCAAGCGUUACUCGGAAUUACUGGGCGUAAAGCGUGCGUAGGCGGUUUGUUAAGUCUGUCGUGAAAGCCCUGGGCUCAACCUGGGAAUUGCGAUGGAUACUGGCAAGCUAGAGUACGGUAGAGGAUGGUGGAAUUCCCGGUGUAGCGGUGAAAUGCGUAGAGAUCGGGAGGAACACCCGUGGCGAAGGCGGCCAUCUGGACCAGUACUGACGCUGAGGCACGAAAGCGUGGGGAGCAAACAGG
rnacentral:rRNA from 1 species